AUUGAACGCUGGCGGCAUGCUUUACACAUGCAAGUCGAACGGAGUGGCGGACGGGUGAGUAAUAUAUCGGAACGUGCCCAGUAGCGGGGGAUAACUACUCGAAAGAGUGGCUAAUCACGCAUACUAUUGGAGAGGCCGAUAUAGGAUUAGCUAGUUGGUGGGGUAAAGGCUCACAAAGGCCACGAUCCGUAGCUGGUUGAAGAGGACGACCAGCCACACUGGAACUGAGACACGGUCCAGACUCCUACGGGAGGCAGCAGUGGGGAAUAUUGGACAAUGGGCGAAACCCUGAUCCAGCCAUGCCGCGUGUAUGAAGAAGGCCUUCGGGUUGUAAAGUACUUUAGGCAGAGAGGCGGUAUCUGCAGAAUAAGCACCGGCUAACUACGUGCCAGCAGCCGCGGUAAUAC
rnacentral:rRNA from 1 species